rnacentral:sRNA from 1 species
UGCUUUGUUUGUGUCUUACAUGGUUCUAUUUUUCCUUGUUUCUUAAGCAAAACCCUUUGUUUAUGAGAAACAAAGAAAAGAAAAAACGAUUACAUAAGCUUCUAAGUCACAGACUGAGAAUAAGAAACACAUAACCAUAGGCUCAGAGUUUAAGAGAACAGCCAUGUACCUGUUUCUUCCCAGUCUUGAAACGUUCAUGCAAGGGUGGUGUUUGUGUCCUCUUGACCUUGGAUCUCAUCAGUUUCUACAAUAAGAAAAACCGAGCUAUUAAUCUAAAAGCUGCAGUCCAAAAGCCAUAUAAGUUUACUAUUAUAAACGAGUUCAAGAUGUGAAUAUUACCAACUUCUUGAAAUCCACGAAACCAGUUUCUAGUACAUAGGAGGGCUUGCACAUUAGUAGGUAAAAGGCAGCUUCUAUAUUUGUUAAGCACACGACUACCUAUACUAAAAGCUGAUUCCGAUGCCACGGUAGUGAUCGGAAUGCUUAAGAUAUCACAUGCCAUCGAUGACAAUUCUUUAAAACGCGAGACAUUGUUUUUCCAAUAUGCAAUAACAUCCAUAUCUUUAAAAGAGACCAUAUCUAACACAGGCUCUUCCAAGUACAUAUCUAAUGGUGAUUUUCCAGUUCCAUUUCUUUGAGAAAAGUAAGAGUAAAACCCCUGAAAUAUGACCAACAAAAGAAAAUAUGACCAACCGUAUAGUUCAACAAUCACAACAGACAACCCAUUCUCACUAAGUAUAAGAAUGCAUUUUCAUAGCCACUAACUAUCACAACAAACAAACAUACAAGAACAAUACUGUAAACACACAAAAUUAGCAACUUACAUCAUAUCCAAAUGGGAUAUCCUUUCGUGAAGAUUGAGAAGUGCUUGCUGCAACGUUGCAUGUGGUUCUUUUAUAAGCUCCAAAUAGUUGAACCAUCUUAUCACGCACAUGAGUCAAGUUUUCCUUACUGGUCAAUGGAUUCAGAAUAUUAUAACAAUAUUCUAAAGCUGAGAAUUUCAAUCUUGGAUCAAGAACUGCAGCCAUCGCAAGAAUGUCGCUGAAAUCUUCCCAAUAUUUAUCAUAUUUCUCCGUCAUAUCUUCCACCAUUUCACGAAUAACCCUAUCAUGAGAAUCAUCAUGAUCUCCCAGCCAACAUUUAAUCGCUCAUACUUGCAUAAAAUACACGUUUGCUGUCGGAUAAGACGAACCCGAAAUCAGCUUUGUAAUCUCAGCAAAUGGUUUCAAAAGGUCACAUAUCAGUUCUGCUCUUUCCCACUCCACAGCAGAUGGGAAACUCUUAUAAACCCUAUCUACUUCUGCAAGACUACGCAAUACAUCCUUAAACUGAAUUGCUCGUGAGAGCAUAUGAUAAGUGGAGUUCCAGCGGGUUGAGACAUCUAAAACUAAACUUGCCUCAGUUUGAAUUCCAAUUGUAUCCAUACAAUUCUGAAAUAAAUUUUCUCGAGUCUCAGAUCCUUUCACAUACUUCACAGUCUCUCUAAUUUUCUCCAAAGCUCCAGAUAUCACUUCCAAACCAUCUUGAACUAUCAAGUUUAGGAUAUGUGCUGAACAUCUCACAUGAAAGAAUUCUCCGCUGCAGACAAGAUCUUUUUGUAGCUUUCUCUUUAAAAUGCUUUGCAUAGUAUCAUUUGCAGAAGCAUUAUCCACAGUUAAAGUAAAAAUUUUCUUCUCAAUUCCCCAAUCUUUCAACAGCUCACUAAGCUUCAUUGCUAUAGCUACUCCAGAAUGUGGAGGCGGGAAAGCAGAGAAAGAUAAGAUCUUCGUUUUCAGAACACCAUCAACAUCUACAUAAUGAGCUGUUAAGCAAAUAUAACUUUCAACAGUUAAAGCUCUCCACAAAUCUGUUGUUAAGCAUAUUCUACCCGGGAUUAUAGCUAACUUUUCCUUAAGCUUAAUUUUCUCUCUUUCAUAAAUCUUGUAGACAUCAGAAGCUGCAGUAUUUCUGCUCCAAAAUUCUAUAGAAGGGUUAGCAUAUGUAAAGGCUUCUCUAAUUCUUUCAUAUUCGACAAACGAAUAUGGAAGAUUAUGUUGAACUAAAGCCACUGCAAUCAUUUCUCUAAAGACCAUCAUAUCCACCUUUCUGCUAAUUCUAGGUGUACUUCCAGGAGUCUUUUCACAAGAUCUCAUAUGACGAUUCAUGGUAUUAGUACCAUUUCGUCUCAGAUUCAAGUGAUAAGUCUGCUCACAAUAUUUGCAUGUAACCUCAGUUUUCCCAUUAGGAUAUUUCUGUCCUCUAUCGAAGUUUUUCCAGCAUGCAGCACGAAAUCUACUUACACUACUAUUACCUCUCUCAGCUGUCCCUGAAGAAGCAGUUUCAUGAGGUAGUAUUUGAUCCAUUUCUGGAUCUUCAUGGUCCAUUUCUUGAUCCUCAAGAUUAAAGUUGUCUUCAUCAACCAAGUUUUGAGUAUCCAAUUCCAUAUUUCUGAAACAAAUAAAGACAUACACACGUUUAGCAGUGAUAAUUAAGCAUGAACAAAUCACAUUCCAAUGAGAAAUAUACGAUAAUAAUCAAUAAGACA